UAGGCGUAAAUGAUGCGAGUUAAGUGUGGGGGCAUCUACGAGAUGGCCCUGUGCUGUAGGGUAGCCGUUAAACUCGCUGCCUGGGAGUACGGUCGCAAGGCUGAAACUUAAAGGAAUUGGCGGGGGAGCACCACAAGAGGUGGAGGCUGCGGUUCAAUUGGACUCAACGCCGGAAACUCAUCGGGAGCGACAGCAGUAUGAUUGCCAGGUUGAUGACCUUGCUUGACAGGCUGAGAGGAGGUGCAUGGCGUAGUCGUGU
rnacentral:rRNA from 1 species